UACAGAGGUCUCAAGCGUUGUUCGGAUUCAUUGGGCGUAAAGGGUGCGUAGGCGGCGCGGUAAGUCGGGUGUGAAAUCUCGGAGCUUAACUCCGAAACUGCAUUCGAUACUGCCGUGCUUGAGGACUGGAGAGGAGACUGGAAUUUACGGUGUAGCGGUGAAAUGCGUAGAUAUCGUAAGGAAGACCAGUGGCGAAGGUGGGUCUCUGGACAGUUCCUGACGCUGAGGCACGAAGGUCAGGGGAGCAAACGGGG
rnacentral:rRNA from 1 species